rnacentral:lncRNA from 1 species
UAUAUGUACCCCUCAUACGUUUUAAAAUAUCCGAUUUAUCUCUACUCUUUUUUUUUUUUUUUCUGAAAUACCCCUUAUAUGUUCCGCCAUUAUUAUAAAAUACCCCCGCAGUUAUCUCCUGUUAGGUUAACUUGGAUGAAACGUUAGUUAAAUAUGUACCACAGUUAAAAAAAAUUGAAUUGAUAAUUUUGCCCUUAACUUAAGGGUAAAUAAGAAAUAUUGGUGAUGAUAGAGGGGUAUAUUGGAAAAGAUCAAAAGUCAAAAUAUUUUUUUUGCCCCUGACUUUACGGGCAAAUAAAAAAAUCAAUGAUGGUGGAAGGGUAUAUUUGAUAGGGCAAAAAAUGUAAUUUUACAGAGAUAACAAAUUUUAUUAACAAAUUUUAACUUUAGGUGUAUAUUAGAAAUAUGUUUGAACGUAGAAAGGGUAUUUUUAAUAUUAGCCUUCUGAGAGGGGUAAAACGAAAAGUCAGAAACUUUUUAGGGAUAUAUAAGCAAUUGUCCCUUAUUAGAAUUUUUUUUUUCGUUUGUAGUUAAUAAUUAAUUGUAGU